rnacentral:rRNA from 1 species
GAUGAACGCUGGCGGCGUGCCUAAUACAUGCAAGUCGAGCGAACAGACGAGGAGCUUGCUCCUCUGACGUUAGCGGCGGACGGGCGAGUAACACGUGGAUAACCUACCUAUAAGACUGGGAUAACUUCGGGAAACCGGAGCUAAUACCGGAUAAUAUAUUGAACCGCAUGGUUCAAUAGUGAAAGACGGUUUUGCUGUCACUUAUAGAUGGAUCCGCGCCGCAUUAGCUAGUUGGUACGGUAACGGCUUACCAAGGCGACGAUGCGUAGCCGACCUGAGAGGGUGAUCGCCCACACUGGAACUGAGACACGGUCCAGACUCCUACGGGAGGCAGCAGUAGGGGAUCUUCCGCAAUGGGCGAAAGCCUGACGGAGCAACGCCGCGUGAGUGAUGAAGGUCUUCGGAUCGUAAAACUCUGUUAUUAGGGAAGAACAAAUGUGUAAGUAACUAUGCACGUCUUGACGGUACCUAAUCAGAAAGCCACGGCUAACUACGUG